AGGGAAGAAGCGAAAGUGACGGUACCUGCAGAAGAAGCGCCGGCUAACUACGUGCCAGCAGCCGCGGUAAUACGUGGGGCGCACAGUUAUCCGGAAUUAUUGGGCGUAAAGAGCUCGUAGGCGGUUUGUCGCGUCUGCUGUGAAAGACCGGGGCUCAACUCCGGUUCUGCAGUGGGUACGGGCAGACUAGAGUGAUGUAGGGGAGACUGGAAUUCCUGGUGUAGCGGUGAAAUGCGCAGAUAUCAGGAGGAACACCGAUGGCGAAGCAGGUCUCUGGGCAUUAACUGACGCUGAGGAGCGAAAGAUUGGGGAGCGAACAGGAUUAGAUACCCUGGUAG
rnacentral:rRNA from 1 species